rnacentral:rRNA from 1 species
GGAAUUUUGGACAAUGGGCGCACGCCUGAUCCAGCCAUGCCGCGUGCGGGAAGAAGGCCUUCGGGUUGUAUACCGCUUUUGGCAGGAACGAAACGGCGCGGGCUAAUACAUCGCGUGAAUGACGGUACCUGCAGAAUAAGCACCGGCUAACUACGGGCCAGCAGCCGCGGUAAUACGUAGGGUGCAAGCGUUAAUCGGAAUUACUGGGCGUAAAGCGUACGCAGGCGGCUUUUCAAGACAGGUGUGAAAUCCCCGGGCCUAACCUGGGAACUGCAUUUGUGACUGCAUGGCUAGAGUCUGUCAGAGGGGGGUGGAAUUCCACGUGUAGCAGUGAAAUGCGUAGAGAUGUGGAAGAACACCGAUGGCGAAGGCAGCCCCCUGGGAUAAGACUGACGCUCAUGCACGAAAGCGUGGGGAGCAAAC